rnacentral:rRNA from 1 species
AGAUUGAACGCUGGCGGCAUGCCUUACACAUGCAAGUCGAACGGUAACGCGGGGCAACCUGGCGACGAGUGGCGAACGGGUGAGUAAUGCAUCGGAACGUGCCCAGUAGUGGGGGAUAGCUCGGCGAAAGCCGGAUUAAUACCGCAUACGACCUAAGGGUGAAAGCGGGGGACCGCAAGGCCUCGCGCUAUUGGAGCGGCCGAUGUCAGAUUAGGUUGUUGGUGGGGUAAAAGCCUACCAAGCCGACGAUCUGUAGCUGGUCUGAGAGGACGACCAGCCACACUGGGACUGAGACACGGCCCAGACUCCUACGGGAGGCAGCAGUGGGAAUUUGGACAAUGGGGGCAACCCUGAUCCAGCCAUGCCGCGUGCGGGAAGAAGGCCUUCGGGUUGUAAACCGCUUUUGUCAGGAAGAACGCUCUAGGUUAAUACCUCGAGGUAAGUGACGGUACCUGAAGAAUAAGACACCGGACUAACUACGUGCCAGCGAGCCGAC